CAGUGGGUCCAGAAGCCCUUUGGAUACUGAUCAGAGGCUCCUUUUGGGCAGAGAUCACAGCAGCAGCCACCAGUUCCGCAGGCUGGGAAGUCCAAAAUCAAGAGGCCUCUGGAGAGGGUAUUCCUACUACAUUCUCACAUGGAGGCCGCGUGGUCUCUACUGCUCCGCCCUGGUCAGGAGGAGAAAGAAGAGGGCCAGGCGCCAUGUGCCCGCACUCUCCCUGGAUGCUGGAGGCCGGUCCGCCCUAGGCAGGAGGAGAAGGAAGAGAACUGGGUGCUGCCCACCUGCACUCUCCCUGGAUGCUGGAGGCUGGAGGCAGUGAGGCAGCAACAGCACAAGGCGACUUUGGAGCGGCCUAAUAUAGCUACCUAGCCUUCCGCUGUGCCUCCUCCCAGAGCCCAAGAAGCCUGGAACUUGUGGCAUCCAGCGCUUAAAGGAGGAGAGGGCAACCCAGCCAAGGGUGAGUCCGGGAGUCUGGGGUGCCAGCGGCAGAGGGAGGCCAGGCAGGAGUCUCGGCCUCCCAGGGAGUGGCGUGCAGGGAAAGGCAGGAGGGCCCCAGCGGCAGGAGGGGUUACGGGCCGGGGAGGGAGGCCUCAGGCUGGGAGCCCAAUAGACCGUCUGACCCUCCCCGAGCCCCAUUCCAGGCCGAGCCAGGACCCCUCUGAUGCACAGGACCCUCGGGAGCACUUUCUGUUGUUGAAUCCGGGGCCCAGUGCGGCUUGAACCCAGCCCCCGACCUCCUCCUCACCCUCUGAGAACCCGUUGGGGUGGGUGCUGGAGAAGCCCGGGUCAGAGAGGAGCCCGGGUCGGAGAGGAGCCCUCCCCUUCUCUCCUCCGUGGAGGCCUUGGAGCCUCCGUUUCCUCCGGGACUGGAGUCCGGGGCCUCCUGCCCGACCCGGGGUGAGAAAGGGAGCCCCUAUCAGGACCCAGUGAGAGGGCACUGGGACCCAGGAGCGGCGGUAGCCUUGGGCGGCAGCCCGGGAAAAGGAUGGAGGUCCCCUUGGGCCCCCGGUCCCCCACUGCCGGGGCCUCUGUCACCUCCUGGGGGUCCUGCCCCCUGGGGUCCCACCCUCCGGGCUGCCUGUGGGUAUCUCUCAUCUGGAACUGGAAAUAACCCCCUUCAAAGUACGGCUUAGCAAAUAUUUAUUCGCCCAUGCACCCCCUUUUUUUUCUUCAUAUCUAGUGUUCUUAUUAUCUUGGGUCAUUUGUGUUUUUCCUGUAUUGAUGUGAAGCAUUUUUAAAGACAAUUUAGAGAUUAGUCCUUUAUUGGUUCGUUUCUAUUGUAGGUUGUUGUUUCCUAGUCUGGUCUUUGUUGUUUAAUUUCAUUUUUUUUAUUUCUUCCUUGAUUGAAUUCAGGUAACAAUGUUUUUCUUAGAAUAUUUGUAUCUGUGUUUGUGAAACAGAGCAUCUGUUAUUUCUGGGUUUUUUUAUUGUCUGAUCAGAUUGUGUAUUAAUGUAAUGAUGGCCUCAUGAAACAAAUUGAAAAACCAUCCCUUUUCUUCUUUCUCUUUGAGAGAGUGAGCAGUGUCGAUAUUUUUUUCUUCCUUAAAUAUUUGGAACAUUUUCAAAGUCUGAUCCUGGUAUUUUCCUUGUGGAGCAUUAUUGUUUGUUGAUUUGUUGGAUUUUUUUAAAAAUAGUUAAUUAAUUUUGUUUAAUAUACAUAGGAGUGUUUUUAUUUUAUACUAUUUUUGUGCCAGUUUUAGUAAGUUGGGUUUUCAACAUCUAUUGUGAUCUCUGUUGUCAGACUUUUGAUCAUAUGUAUUUCACAAAAUUCUCUGAUUAUCUUGUUAUAGUACUGUUAUGCAGAGCAGACUGUUGUUUUGAUUCUGAUACUGGUCACUUGUGUCCUUUAAUCUCUUUUCCUUAAUCAGCUUUGCUAAUGGUUUAUUAUCUAUAUUAUUUAUAAGAACAACUUUUAGCCUUGGUUUAUUUCUGUCGUACAUUUUUCCAUUUCAUUGAUGUUUGUUAGCUUUAUUAUUGCCUUCAUCCUGUAUUCUUUGCACUUGAUUUUUCUUUCUUGAUUCCUGAGAAAGAAGUUGAGGUGCCUGGCGCGUUGGCUCACACCUAUAAUCCCAGCACUUUGGGAGGCCAAGGUGGGUGGAUCACCUGAAGGUCAGGAGUUCCAGACCAGCCUGGUCAACAUGGUGAAACCCCCGUCUAUACUAAAGAUACAAAAAUUAGGCGGGCGUGGUGGUGGGCGCCUGUAAUCCCAACUACUGGGGAAGCUGAGGCAUGAGAAUCGCUUGAACCCAGGAGGUGGAGGUUGCAGUGAGCCGAGAUCGCGCCUUUGCACUCCAGCCUGGGCAACAAGAGCAAAACUUCGUCUCAAAAAAAAAAAAAAGAAGAAGAAGAAAGAAGUUGAGGUGACUGAUUUUCAGUGUUUCUGGACUCCUGCCCUGCAGAGAUCCUCUUGCUGUAACCUGUUUCAUGUGAGGUAGAGUUUAGAAAAUGUUUAUUGGCCUCUGUGCCUUACUUUUCUUCAUGUACUCUUCUUAUUUUGUUAAUUUUUCUUUAGGGCUUUUUUUCCUUAUAUUAAAUUGAAGGACUUAUUGUUAAAAAUCUGUAAGCCCUUUAUUGGCUCAUUUUUGUCAUAGGUUCUUGUUCUCUAGUUUGAUUUUUGUUCUUUCAUUUCUUUGUGUUCAUAGUUGUAUAUAGUAAUCUGGUUGAUAAUGAUCUUGUAUGCAGUAGCUUUGCUUAAUUUAUUUAUUAAUUGUAACACUUUAUGUCAUGUUAGGCAGUACUGAGUGCUUCUGGGAGCAGCCAGGUUUCCAUGAACUCCCAGUUUACUCUAAAUACUCCAGCAACCCACAUGUGUGCACACUGGAUAAUGUCACGCAUGCAGGGCAAUGAUGCUGGGGAUGCACGGACUCUGCCAUUCUGUGAAUCCACCGCACAAUUACAAACAUUAGCAUUAAAAUAAAAUGGACUGUUAGGCAACUGCAAA